CAGGUUUAUCAACCCAAAAUGAUCCCACAUACUCCACCAUCAAUGAUCUCCCACCGACAGCAAACAAGAACGAGACGUCAAUACCUGCUGAGUCCCCAUAAUGCUUGAUCAGUGCCACUUCGCCCAAUGGGAAUAAUACAGGUUCGUCACAGCUGACCAGCAACUACUAUAGUUUACUGGAGAAACCCAAAGUGGUCGAAAAUCAAUAUGAUUAGUGUUUUUAUAUUUACUUGUAGUUAAAUAUUAUAAAGGGGCCCUUACAAAAAAUAUAAAAUAAAAUAAAACAAAAUCACUCAACUUCUUACAUAUGAAUUUUAAGAUAAAUAUCAUUUGCAUUGGUUCACAUGUUGAAUCAGAAUACAAUAUGUGAAAUGUGUUUAUUCAUAUGGAAAAAAAACACAUUCACAUUUCAUGAUUUUCCUUGAACCACAGUAUGAAGGUCAAUGAUGGAUUAAUUUGGCACGUUGCCAUACGUCCAUGUAAUGAUACUAUCAAUGGUUUUUAAAUGUUGAUCAGUUGAUAGAAAUAUGUUCAUGUAUGUACAAAAUGCUUUUUGAUCACGUUUUUGUAUAAUUCUAAAUAAGCUUCUUGAUAUAUUUCUUUUACAAAUAAAUUGU